rnacentral:rRNA from 1 species
GACGAACGCUGGCGGCGUGCCUAAUACAUGCAAGUAGAACGCAGUUGCGAACGGGUGAGUAACGCGUAGGUAACUGCCUCAUAGCGGGGGAUAACUCUUGGAAACGAUAGCUAAUACCCCAUACUUUGAGAUGGACCUGCGUUGUAUUAGCUAGUUGGUGAGGUAAACGCUCACCAAGGCGACGAUACAUAGCCGAACUGAGAGGGGUAGCGGCCAAAAUUGGACUGAGACACGGCCCCGAUCUCUAAGGGAGGACGCCAGAGGGGAUCUUUGCUAAUGGAGGGAAGGCCGACCGCAGAACUCCCCGUGAUGGAAGAAGGUCUUCUGGUCAGAAAGCUCUUUUGGUAGAGAAGCGGUAACUAACCAGAAAGGGACGGCUAACUACGUGCCAGCAGCCGCGGUAAUUC